GACGAACGCUGGCGGCGUGCUUAACACAUGCAAGUCGAGCGGUAAGGCCCUUCGGGUACGACGAGCGGCGAACGGGUGAGUAACACGUGGGUGACCUGCCCUUAGCUCUGGGAUAAGCCUGGGAAACUGGGUCUAAUACCGGAUAUGACCUCAUGACGCAUGUUGUGGGGUGGAAAGCCUUGUGCGGCUAGGGGAUGGGCCCGCGGCCUAUCAGC
rnacentral:rRNA from 1 species